UACGAAGGGGGCUAGCGUUGCUCGGAAUCACUGGGCGUAAAGGGUGCGUAGGCGGGUCUUUAAGUCAGGGGUGAAAUCCUGGAGCUCAACUCCAGAACUGCCUUUGAUACUGAGGAUCUUGAGUCCGGGAGAGGUGAGUGGAACUGCGAGUGUAGAGGUGAAAUUCGUAGAUAUUCGCAAGAACACCAGUGGCGAAGGCGGCUCACUGGCCCGAAACUGACGCUGAGGCACGAAAGCGUGGGGAGCAAACAGG
rnacentral:rRNA from 1 species